GAUGAAGAACGUAGCGAAAUGCGAUAAGUAAUGUGAAUUGCAGAAUUCCGUGAAUCAUCGAAUCUUUGAACGCACAUUGCGCCCCCUGGUAUUCCGGGGGGCAUGCCUGUCCGAGCGUCAUUGCAACCCUCAAGCGCGGCUUGUGUGUUGGGCUUCGUCCCCCCGUGGACGUGCCCGAAAGGCAGUGGCGGCGUCCCGAAUGGUGCCCGAGCGUAUGGGAACUCUCUUCCGCUCGAACCGGCCCAUUCGGCGCUGGUCGAACCCCAAUUUUUUUUUACCGGUUGACCUCGGAUCAGGUAAGGAUACCCGCUGAACUUAAGCAUAUCAAUAAGCGGAGGA
rnacentral:misc_RNA from 1 species